rnacentral:rRNA from 1 species
GAUGAACGCUGGCGGCGUGCCUAAUACAUGCAAGUCGAGCGAACAGAUGAGGCUCUUGCUCCUCUCUCGUUAGCCGCGGACGGGUGUGUCACACGUGUAUAACCUCCCUAUCAUACUGGUAUCACUUCGGGAAACCGGCGCUAAUACCGUAUAAUAUCUUGAACCGCAUGGUUCAAUAGUGAAAUACGGUUUUUCUGUCACUUAUCGCUGCAUCCGCGCCGCAUUAGCUAGUUGGUAAGGUAACGGCUUACCAAGGCUACGAUGCGUAGCCGACCUGAGAGGGUGAUAGGCCACACUGGAGCGGAGACGCGGUCCAGGCGACUGAGAGAGGCAGCAGAAGGGAAUCGUACGCAAUGGGCGAAAGCAUGACGGAGUAAGGGGGAGUGAGUGAUGAAGGUGUUCGGAUCGUGAAAAUCGGUUAUGAGGGAAGAACAAAUGUGGAAGGAACUAUGCACGUCUUGACGGUACCGAAUCAGAAAGCCACGGCUAACUACGUG